UACGUAGGGUGCAAGCGUUGUCCGGAAUUAUUGGGCGUAAAGAGCUCGUAGGCGGUCUGUCGCGUCUGCUGUGAAAACUCAGGGCUUAACCCUGAGCUUGCAGUGGGUACGGGCAGACUAGAGUGCGGUAGGGGAGACUGGAAUUCCUGGUGUAGCGGUGAAAUGCGCAGAUAUCAAGGGAGGGAACACCCGGUGGGCGAAGGCGG
rnacentral:rRNA from 1 species